UGGGGAAUUUUGGACAAUGGGCGCAAGCCUGAUCCAGCCAUGCCGCGUGCAGGAUGAAGGCCUUCGGGUUGUAAACUGCUUUUGUACGGAACGAAAAGGUGCCUUCUAAUAAAGGGCGCUCAUGACGGUACCGUAAGAAUAAGCACCGGCUAACUACGUGCCAGCAGCCGCGGUAAUACGUAGGGUGCGAGCGUUAAUCGGAAUUACUGGGCGUAAAGCGUGCGCAGGCGGUUUUGUAAGACAGAGGUGAAAUCCCCGGGCUCAACCUGGGAACUGCCUUUGUGACUGCAAGGCUGGAGUGCGGCAGAGGGGGAUGGAAUUCCGCGUGUAGCAGUGAAAUGCGUAGAUAUGCGGAGGAACACCGAUGGCGAAGGCAUUCCCCUGGGCCUGCACUGACGCUCAUGCACGAAAGCGUGGGGAGCAAACA
rnacentral:rRNA from 1 species